UACGUAGGUGGCGAGCGUUGUCCGGAAUUAUUGGGCGUAAAGGGCGCGUAGGUGGGAUAGUCAGUCUGUCUUAAAAGUUCGGGGCUCAACCCCGUGAUGGGGCGGAAACUGCUAUUCUUGAGUGCAGGAGAGGAAAGCGGAAUUCCCAGUGUAGCGGUGAAAUGCGUAGAUAUUGGGAGGAACACCAGUGGCGAAGGCGGCUUUCUGGACUGUGUCUGACACUGAGGCGCGAAAGCUAGGGGAGCGAACGGG
rnacentral:rRNA from 1 species